rnacentral:rRNA from 1 species
GUGGGGAAUAUUGGACAAUGGGGGGAACCCUGAUCCAGCCAUGCCGCCUGUGUGAAGAAGGCCUUUUGGUUGUAAAGCACUUUAAGCGAGGAGGAGGCUACCGAGAUUAAUACUCUUGGAUAGUGGACGUUACUCGCAGAAUAAGCACCGGCUAACUCUGUGCCAGCAGCCGCGGUAAUACAGAGGGUGCAAGCGUUAAUCGGAUUUACUGGGCGUAAAGCGCGCGUAGGUGGCCAAUUAAGUCAAAUGUGAAAUCCCCGAGCUUAACUUGGGAAUUGCAUUCGAUACUGGUUGGCUAGAGGAUGGGAGAGGAUGGUAGAAUUCCAGGUGUAGCGGUGAAAUGCGUAGAGAUCUGGAGGAAUACCGAUGGCGAAGGCAGCCAUCUGGCCUAAUACUGACACUGAGGUGCGAAAGCAUGGGGAGCAAACAGGAUUAGAAACCCUUGUAGUCC